rnacentral:rRNA from 1 species
CCCGGUGAUUUAUCAUAGCUGGCACCACCCGUUCCCAUUCCGAACACGGAAGUGAAACUGCUAUGACCCGAUAAUACUGUUUAGGGAAGGUAGGGUUUGCCGGGC